GUUCCUACGGGAGGCAGCAGUGGGGAAUAUUGGACAAUGGGGGGAACCCUGAUCCAGCGACGCCGCGUGAGUGAAGAAGUAUUUCGGUAUGUAAAGCUCUAUCAGCAGGGAAGAAAGAAAUGACGGUACCUGACUAAGAAGCCCUGGCUAACUACGUGCCAGCAGCCGCGGUAAUACGUAGGGGGCAAGCGUUAUCCGGAUUUACUGGGUGUAAAGGGAGCGUAGACGGCGAUGCAAGUCUGAAGGGAAAGGCGGGGGCCCAACCCCUGGACUGCUUUGGAACCUGAAUGGCUGGGGGGC
rnacentral:rRNA from 1 species